AGACAUGAGGGUCAUCUGGCUAUGACAUCUACCACUCAUAAAUCGGUGGAUAGUUGGGAGUCCUUUUCCUCUCUCACUAUUUCAGAUAUACUGCUGCCAAAGCUGUGUGCCAGGCAGCAGUAGACCUUCUUCUGUAGAGGAGGAAUGGUCUUGGUUAAAGGUAUAUGAGUAGCAGUGUUUCCCUGCUAGAACCUCCAAACAAAGUCUCAGAACAUAUUGUAAAUGCCCCCUCUGUAAUUCAAGAAGUUUGAAGGUCAGAUUUAGAAGACAAGGGAUCCUCAGAGCAGGUUGGGUAGUCAGACUAGCCAUAUCAGCAAACCUU
rfam:Mesocricetus auratus contig077698, whole genome shotgun sequence.